GGUAGGAUGGUCGAAUGAUUAGGCGGGGGGCUGUAGACCCCCAAAUGGGGGUUGAAUUCCUCCUCCUAUCA
rnacentral:tRNA from 1 species